rnacentral:rRNA from 1 species
UGGGGAAUCUUGCCCAAUGGGCGAAAGCCUGAGGCAGCAACGCCGCGUGUGGGAUGACGGCCCUCGGGUUGUAAACCACUUUCAGCAGGGACGAAAAUGACGGUACCUGCAGAAGAAGCUCCGGCCAACUACGUGCCAGCAGCCGCGGUAAUACGUAGGGAGCGAGCGUUGUCCGGAUUUAUUGGGCGUAAAGCGCGCGUAGGCGGUUUGGUAAGUCGGGUGUGAAACCUCCAAGCUUAACUUGGAGCUGCCACUCGAAACUGUCAUGACUUGAGUUCGGUAGGGGAACACGGAAUUCCAGGUGUAGCGGUGAAAUGCUUAGAUAUCUGGAGGAACACCAGUGGCGAAGGCGGUGUUCUGGGCCGAUACUGACGCUGAUGCGCGAAAGCGUGGGGAGCGAACAG